rnacentral:other from 1 species
AUUUCUCUGAGAUGUUUGCAAGCGGGCCAGUCCCCUGAGCCGAUAUUUCAUACCACAAGAAUGUGACGAUCCAUGUUCGGUGAGCAUGCCCGGUUCGCCCGGGAAGCCUUAAGAAUAUGACGAUGCAUUCACCUUGAACCACGGGUUCAAGGGUUACAGCCUGCGGCGGCAUCUCGGAGAUUCC